UUAAAUUGAAGAGUUUGAUCAUGGCUCAGAUUGAACGCUGGCGGCAGGCCUAACACAUGCAAGUCGAACGGUAACAGGAAGCAGCUUGCUGCUUCGCUGACGAGUGGCGGACGGGUGAGUAAAGGUGGGGAAA
rnacentral:rRNA from 1 species